UUCUAGCUUGCUAGAAGAUGGCGACCGGCGCACGGGUGCGUAACGCGUAUACAAUCUACCUAUUACUGAGGGAUAGCCCGAAGAAAUUUGGAUUAAGACCUCAUAGUAUUAUGAAUCCGCAUGGGUUUGUAAUUAAAGGUUACGGUAAUAGAUGAGUAUGCGUCCUAUUAGCUAGAUGGUAAGGUAACGGCUUACCAUGGCUACGAUAGGUAGGGGUCCUGAGAGGGAGAUCCCCCACACUGGUACUGAGACACGGACCAGACUCCUACGGGAGGCAGCAGUGAGGAAUAUUGGACAAUGGGCGCAAGCCUGAUCCAGCCAUGCCGCGUGUAGGAAGACGGCCCUAUGGGUUGUAAACUACUUUUGUACGGGAAGAAAUAUAUCUACGUGUAGAUAUUUGACGGUACCGUAAGAAUAAGCACCGGCUAACUCCGUGCCAGCAGCCGCGGUAAUACGGAGGGUGCAAGCGUUAUCCGGAAUCAUUGGGUUUAAAGGGUCCGUAGGCGGGCUAAUAAGUCAGUGGUGAAAUGCAGGGGCUUAACUCCGGCACUGCCAUUGAUACUGUUAGUCUUGAAUUAUUGUGAAGUGGUUAGAAUAUGUAGUGUAGCGGUGAAAUGCUUAGAUAUUACAUAGAAUACCAAUUGCGAAGGCAGAUCACUAACAAUAUAUUGACGCUGAUGGACGAAAGCGUGGGUAGCGA
rnacentral:rRNA from 1 species